GACGAACCGUGCGAACGUUGUUCGGAAUCACUGGGCUUAAAGGGCGCGUAGGCGGUUUACCAAGUCCGGGGUGAAAUCUUUCGGCUCAACCGGAAACGGGCCUUGGAUACGGGCAGACUAGAGGCAGGUAGGGGAGAAUGGAAUUCCCGGUGUAGCGGUGAAAUGCGCAGAUAUCGGGAGGAACACCGGUGGCGAAGGCGGGUCUCUGGGCCGAAACUGACGCUGAGGAGCGAAAGCGUGGGGAGCAAACAGG
rnacentral:rRNA from 1 species